rnacentral:misc_RNA from 1 species
UCCGGUUUGUCACCGGCAGUCUCCCUAGAGUGCCCUUGCGUAGCAACUAGGGACAAGGGUUGCGCUCGUUGCGGGACUUAACCCAACAUCUCACGACACGAGCUGACGACAGCCAUGCAGCACCUGUGUGUCGGCUCCCUUUCGGGCACCCCCGCAUCUCUGCAGGGUUCCGACCAUGUCAAGGGUAGGUAAGGUUUUUCGCGUUGCAUCGAAUUAAUCCACAUCAUCCACCGCUUGUGCGGGUCCCCGUCAAUUCCUUUGAGUUUUAAUCUUGCGACCGUACUCCCCAGGCGGGCAACUUCACGCGUUAGCUGCGGUACCAAGAGAUUGCUCCCCCAACACCUAGUUGCCAUCGUUUAGGGCGUGGACUAC